rnacentral:rRNA from 1 species
AUUGAACGCUGGCGGCAGGCUUAACACAUGCAAGUCGAGCGGGGUGAUGGUGCUUGCACUAUCACUUAGCGGCGGACGGGUGAGUAAUGCUUAGGAAUCUGCCUAUUAGUGGGGGACAACAUCUCGAAAGGGAUGCUAAUACCGCAUACGUCCUACGGGAGAAAGCAGGGGAUCACUUGUGACCUUGCGCUAAUAGAUGAGCCUAAGUCGGAUUAGCUAGUUGGUGGGGUAAAGGCCUACCAAGGCGACGAUCUGUAGCGGGUCUGAGAGGACGAUCCGCCACACUGGGACUGGGACACGGCCCAGACUCCUACGGGAGGCAGCAGUGGGGAAUAUUGGACAAUGGGGGGAACCCUGAUCCAGCUAUGCCGCGUGUGUGAAGAAGGCCUUAUGGUUGUAAAGCACUUUAAGCGAGGAGGAGGCUCUUUUGGUUAAUACCCAAGAUGAGUGGACGUUACUCGCAGAAUAAGCACCGGCUAACUCUGUGCCAGCCGCCGCGGUAA